rnacentral:rRNA from 1 species
UGGGGAAUUUUGGACAAUGGGCGCAAGCCUGAUCCAGCAAUGCCGCGUGCAGGAUGAAGGCCUUCGGGUUGUAAACUGCUUUUGUACGGAACGAAAAAGCUCUCUCUAAUACAGGGGGUGAAUGACGGUACCGUAAGAAUAAGCACCGGCUAACUACGUGCCAGCAGCCGCGGUAAUACGUAGGGUGCGAGCGUUAAUCGGAAUUACUGGGCGUAAAGGGUGCGCAGGCGGUCUUGCAAGUCAGAUGUGAAAGCCCCGGGCUUAACCUGGGAAUUGCGUUUGAAACUACAAGACUAGAGUGCAGCAGAGGGGAGUGGAAGUCCAUGUGUAGCAGUGAAAUGCGUAGAGAUGUGGAAGAACACCGAUGGCGAAGGCAGCUCCCUGGGUUGACACUGACGCUCAUGCACGAAAGCGUGGGGAGCAAACA